CCUACGGGAGGCAGCAGUGGGGAAUAUUGCACAAUGGGGGAAACCCUGAUGCAGCGACGCCGCGUGAGUGAAGAAGUAUUUCGGUAUGUAAAGCUCUAUCAGCAGGGAAGAAAAUGACGGUACCUGAUUAAGAAGCCCCGGCUAACUACGUGCCAGCAGCCGCGGUAAUACGUAGGGGGCAAGCGUUAUCCGGAUUUACUGUGUGUAAAGGGAGCGCAGACGGCAGGGCAAGUCGGAUGUGAAAGUCCGGGGCUCAACCCCGGGACUGCAUUGGAAACUGUCCGGCUAGAGUGCAGGAGAGGUAAGUGGAAUUCCUAGUGUAGCGGUGAAAUGCGUAGAUAUUAGGAGGAACACCAGUGGCGAAGGCGGCUUACUGGACUGUAACUGACGUUGAGGCUCGAAAGCGUGGGGAGCAAACAGGAUUAGAUACCCCGGUAGUC
rnacentral:rRNA from 1 species